UGACUUGGGUGGGAUAUUGACGCUUGAAGUCGAGCAAUCGUCCACUUCCAGCACUCUCCACGAAGUUCUUUUCCCUUCUUCUGCAGAACUGCGUGGUCCCAUGUUUUCUUUUUGGCAAAUACGAGAGAUCCACUCUAUGCACCGUUUGCGGCUCAAGUCAAGCGCCUUGGAAUUUGGGAGGAAUCGUUGACGGUCGCUACCUAGGCUAGCGAGCAGAAGACUGCCGUAGAGAUGGAGCAGUUCUCCACAAGUAGACUAAAGUUAUGGGAUCAUGGGAAACUGGAAGGCUUGUUCCAACGCCUAAACACUUGGCUCCAUUGUUAAAACCGUUAAGAUUAGAAUCCUAAACCAUGGUUAGCUUAACAAAAGCAACCAAGUCGGAAUUAAAUACAAGUAACA
rnacentral:sRNA from 2 species